AUUGGUAUUAAUUAAAUUAAGAUUGAUUCUGUCUUGUUUAGAAAUUUGAUUGGCUAAACGUUUAAAAAGAUAAUAUUAAAUAUAAGUUUUUGCGUGGGUUUUAUUUGUCUAAAAGACAUUUAUUUUUGUUGGUUGUAGUUUUUAAUUUUGAAAAUUUACGUAAAUGUAGAUUUAGUUAAUUGAGUUUAGGGUUGUUCAAGGUUGUGCCAGCAUACGCGGUUACACAGCUGACUCAAGUCAAUUUUUUUGGUUUAUAUUAAUUUUUAAGUUUUGGGGAUUAAAAUUAUUUUAUUAGGUGAAAUUUUUAAUUUGAUUUAUACUUUCUUGGUUUGAGAUUAUACGAAGUUUAGGAUUUAAACUAGGAUUAGAUACCCUAUUAUUCUAAAUGUUAAAUGUGGCCAUAGUACUAAUAGUUAUGAUCUUUAAAUUAAAAGAAUUUGGCGGUAAUUUAGUCUUUUCAGAGGAACCUGUCCUGUAAUCGAUGAUCCACGUUGGAUUCAACUCUAUGUUUGUUGUUUGUAUAUCUCUGUCAUUGAGUGUUUUAUAAGAAUAUUUUCUUGAAUUAUUUAUUUAAUUAAUGUCAGGUCAAGGUGCAGCUAUACUAGAGGUUGAGAUGGGUUACAUUUAAUGUUAUUUAUUGAAUUGUUAUUAUUGGAAAUUUAAUUUAUCAUGAAAAAGGAUUUGAAAGUAAUUUUUAUUAUUUUAUA
rnacentral:rRNA from 1 species